GACAUGUUAUCUGAGGGUUUCAUGUGCUAGCCACCAUUUAAUGAGCCGAAGCUAAAUUACCGAUUUAUGGCCUGCCCUCAGCUUGUAAUGGCUUAUCAGGCAACAGGAAUGUGCUUUCAAACAAAAGGGAUGCAAAGGAUUUGUGAUCUAUUUUCAAGAAUUAGAUCAUUAUAAAGUACACCUUUAAUAGUGAAAUGGGUGAAGCUAUACUUAAAGGUCUAAAAAAUUUAAAAUAAUUAUGAACAAAUAAGACCAAACCAAGAGCAUGUUGUAAAAGGGUAUUUCAAAGGAAAUUAUGUUUUAUUCUGGCAGUGGCAAAAGUUUAACUUUUAAAAUUGCCCCAUUUGCAUUUGAUUUUUUCCAUAAUGACAGCACACAAUGUACCAUCUCUUGUGGCUGUAAUGUGAAAUUAAAAAAGGAGGUGUGAAAGCAGGGUAUUUACAGGAUAUAUACAAAGGAGAAAAUGAAGUAAAGUAUAUGUAACAGAAAAAUCUGGUUAAAGUUUUGCGUGCAAGUUACUAUCUGCAGAAUAAAUGCAGAUAAUAAAUUGAAACUUCACAUGUGCUCCGCGGUUAUAAAACUAGUUCAUUGCAUCACGUCCAAUAACUUUGACAUGCAUUUUGGUCAAAUUAUGUCCCCUUUUGAACAUAAAACUUCUGGUUAAAGUUUUGCUUGCAAGUUACUAUCUCAAAAACUAAUGCAGAUACUUGAUUGAAACUCUAAAUAUAUUUUAACAUUUAGGGUAACAUUUUCCUGCAUCUGGGACAAUACUUUGAAUUGUCGAGCAUUGGCUGUCUUACGGACAACUCUUGCUAUUUUACUUAUUUGUUUAUUAUAAUAUUUUCACAAUUUUCCAAUGUAUGCCCCAUAUAAACGUACAUUAAAAAAAAAACUGUAGGAUAUGCAACGCGCGAGUCUUACGCUCAAUUAUAUACCAUAAGACUGUUUUUUUCUUGACCAUGAAAGAAGCGCUGUCUUUCUUUUCCGUUUUCUUUUAUUUCAGCACAUAGAAUACAUUUGAUUUUUUUUUUUGAUGUAAGGGCUAAUUUUACCAUAACACUUUCUUUAGGUGGAGUUUCCGUGUCCAUAGGACACAGGUGCCCCCCCCCCCCCCCCCCACCCCCACACUCCUGCCACUAAAUUUUAACAUACAUGUUUCACAAACUUUUUUUGGAGUAAGUCUGGACAAGAAGUCUGGUCUUGAGUAAUAAAAACUUAUAAAACAAAAUAAGUCAAGGCCCAUAACUCCUACAUGACUGAAUGAAUCCGGACGCGAAACCCUAGGUGCACAACUGCACAUGCUGAUCAACAUUCCUGUAAACUUUGGUGACUCUAGGUCAAAUACUUUUGGAGCUACGCAUGACACAACAUUAAAAUGACCAAUUUUUUACUAAGUCAGGGGCCAUAACUCCUACACGACUGAAUGAAUCCGGACGCGAAACCUCAGGUGCACAACUACGCAUGCUGACCAACAUUCCUGUAAACUUUGGUGACUCUAAGUAAAAUACUUUUGGAGCUACGCAAAUGUUUUACUAAGUCAGGGGCCAUAACUCCUACACAAGUGCUGACCAACAUUCCUGUAAAGUUUUGUGAUUCUACGUCAAAUACUUUUGGAGCUACGCGCGACACAACACUAAAAUGACCAAUUUUAACAAAGUCAGGGGCCAUAACUCCUACACGACUGAAUGAAUCCGGACGCGAAACCCUAGGUGCACAACUACAUAUGCUGACCAACAUUCCUGUAAAGUUUUGUGACUCUACGUCAAAUACUUUUGGAGCUAGGCGCGACACAACAUUCUCGAAGGACGGACGGAGGACGGACGGACGGGCGGAAGGACGGACGGACGGACGGACAAGAGCAAAUCUGUAUGCCCCCACCACUCAUGGGGGGCACAAAAAGAUCCUGAGUUUAUGUUAAUUCCAAGUAAUUAUCCACAUACAAUAUUUUUACACUUACAUUUACUAUUAAACUGUUGAAUCAUGAAUGGGCUCAAUAUUAUACUUUUCCAGAAAAUAACAACAUCUUUGAUGUUUUCUCAAAUGACCCUUAUCAAAUUGGUAAGGCGAACUUGUCAUUAGGUAGGAUAGUUAAUUGCCUUACAAUUGAUAGGGUUCUCAGUAGUUAACAGUUUACAGGGGUAAUCUAGGGUUACAUUGGCCAACUUUCACCAGGCUGUAUGGUUCAGCCAUCAGAUAAAAUGUGCUAUUUUAGAGGCUUAAGAUUUUCUUAUUUUGCUUGCAGUAUUUAUAUAAAAAAGAACCAUGCAGCCAGGGAGCCAGGCUAAAGACAUCCUAUUGAAGACAGUUCUGAGUGAGCAACAGCCCAAGACACCUUGUUAAUGCUGCCCUGUUAUCUAUUGAGUUUCUACAUACAAGUCAAGUAUCCAUCAAAGAUUGGCCAUGGAGUUUACAGAACUGAAAGCCAAGCUGUGAUUUUUGAAAAUUUCUUAUAAAGUUCUAAAUGGAAAUACAAUUUGAAAAGCA